GAUGCCGUUGGACAAAGGGCGCUCGGUGCUGUGAGUGCUGGGGCAGCUCGGUCACACCGUGGCAUCAGCUGGGAAUUGCACACAGCCUGUUGAGCACAAGGGGCAUGUGGAAAUCGCCAGAUGAAAGCACGUGGCUGAAAUUAAGCAGGAGGAGAACUUACACUGGUAGCAGGCAACGAGGAUGAGGGUAAAAUCAAGAUGUAAGGAAUGCUUGAGUCCUUUUGGAGUUCUGUACGGCAGACCCGACCGAUUUCAGUUUAAAGGGAAGCUCUGAGUCAAUGAGAAAGGACAGGGUUACACACACACCUACAGGACGCUCUCCUGCUGUGUCAUGAGGAUCAGAGCCAACCCCAUUGCUGUGUGAACUCUGCAAAGCACAGAGAUCACAGCAGAGUGAGUCUGCCUGCAUCAGCAGAAGAGCUGCCUUUGUGGAGGUGCAGAUGCAGCCGGCCGUUGUGGAAUUCAUCUUGACCACUCAGAUGUCUUGUACUCCAAAUCCAGCCCGCUCUUUGGAGAUGG